rnacentral:rRNA from 1 species
CCUGGGGGGGUGCCUUAUACAUGGCAAGUCGAACGAGUUCUGAUUAUUGAAAGGUGCUUGCAUCUUGAUUUAAUUUUGAACGAGUGGCGGACGGGUGAGUAACACGUGGGUAACCUGCCCUUAAGUGGGGGAUAACAUUUGGAAACAGAUGCUAAUACCGCAUAAAUCCAAGAACCGCAUGGUUCUUGGCUGAAAGAUGGCGUAAGCUAUCGCUUUUGGAUGGACCCGCGGCGUAUUAGCUAGUUGGUGAGGUAACGGCUCACCAAGGCAAUGAUACGUAGCCGAACUGAGAGGUUGAUCGGCCACAUUGGGACUGAGACACGGCCCAAACUCCUACGGGAGGCAGCAGUAGGGAAUCUUCCACAAUGGACGCAAGUCUGAUGGAGCAACGCCGCGUGAGUGAAGAAGGCUUUCGGGUCGUAAAACUCUGUUGUUGGAGAAGAAUGGUCGGCAGAGUAACUGUUGUCGGCGUGACGGUAUCCAACCAGAAAGCCACGGCUAACUACGUGCCAGCAGCCGCGGUAAUACGUAGGUGGCAAGCGUUAUCCGGAUUUAUUGGGCGUAAAGCGAGCGCAGGCGGUUUUUUAAGUCUGAUGUGAAAGCCCUCGGCUUAACCGAGGAAGUGCAUCGGAAACUGGGAAACUUGAGUGCAGAAGAGGACAGUGGAACUCCAUGUGUAGCGGUGAAAUGCGUAGAUAUAUGGAAGAACACCAGUGGCGAAGGCGGCUGUCUGGUCUGUAACUGACGCUGAGGCUCGAAAGCAUGGGUAGCGAACAGGAUUAGAUACCCUGGUAGUCCAUGCCGUAAACGAUGAAUGCUAGGUGUUGGAGGGUUUCCGCCCUUCAGUGCCGCAGCUAACGCAUUAAGCAUUCCGCCUGGGGAGUACGACCGCAAGGUUGAAACUCAAAGGAAUUGACGGGGGCCCGCACAAGCGGUGGAGCAUGUGGUUUAAUUCGAAGCAACGCGAAGAACCUUACCAGGUCUUGACAUCUUUUGAUCACCUGAGAGAUCAGGUUUCCCCUUCGGGGGCAAAAUGACAGGUGGUGCAUGGUUGUCGUCAGCUCGUGUCGUGAGAUGUUGGGUUAAGUCCCGCAACGAGCGCAACCCUUAUGACUAGUUGCCAGCAUUUAGUUGGGCACUCUAGUAAGACUGCCGGUGACAAACCGGAGGAAGGUGGGGAUGACGUCAAAUCAUCAUGCCCCUUAUGACCUGGGCUACACACGUGCUACAAUGGAUGGUACAACGAGUUGCGAGACCGCGAGGUCAAGCUAAUCUCUUAAAGCCAUUCUCAGUUCGGACUGUAGGCUGCAACUCGCCUACACGAAGUCGGAAUCGCUAGUAAUCGCGGAUCAGCACGCCGCGGUGAAUACGUUCCCGGGCCUUGUACACACCGCCCGUCACACGGAUGAGAGUUUGUAACACCCGAAGCCGGUGGCGUAACCCUUUUAGGGAGCGAGCCGUCUAAAGGGGGACCAAAAU